UACGUAGGGACCAAGCGUUGUUCGGAUUUACUGGGCGUAAAGGGCGCGUAGGCGGCGCGGUAAGUCACUUGUGAAAUCUCUGAGCUUAACUCAGAACGGCCAAGUGAUACUGCAGUGCUAGAGUGUGGAAGGGGCAAUCGGAAUUCUUGGUGUAGCGGUGAAAUGCGUAGAUAUCAAGAGGAACACCUGAGGUGAAGACGGGUUGCUGGGCCAACACUGACGCUGAUGACGCGAAAGCCAGGGGAGCAAACGGGG
rnacentral:rRNA from 1 species